rnacentral:rRNA from 1 species
AGACGGGGGCCCGCACAAGCGUGGAUGAUGUGGAUUAAUUCGAUGCAACGCGAAGAACCUUACCUACCCUUGACAUGUCCGGAACUUGCCAGAGAUGGCUUGGUGCCCGAAAGGGAAUCGGAACACAGGUGCUGCAUGGCUGUCGUCAGCUCGUGUCGUGAGAUGUUGGGUUAAGUCCCGCAACGAGCGCAACCCUUAUCAUUAGUUGCUACGCAAGGGCACUCUAAUGAGACUGCCGGUGACAAACCGGAGGAAGUGGGGAUGACGUCAAGUCCUCAUGGCCCUUAUGGGUAGGGCUUCACACGUCAUACAAUGGUCGGUACAGAGGGUUGCCAAGCCGCGAGGCGGAGCCAAUCCCACAAAGCCGAUCGUAGUCCGGAUUGUUCUCUGCAACUCGAGAGCAUGAAGUCGGAAUCGCUAGUAAUCGCAGGUCAGCAUACUGCGGUGAAUACGUUCCCGGGUCUU